AUUGAACGCUGGCGGCAGGCCUAACACAUGCAAGUCGAACGAGUGGCGGACGGGUGAGUAAUGUCUGGGGCACUGCCUGAUGGAGGGGGAUAACUACUGGAAACGGUAUCUAAUACCGCAUACUAUCAGAUGUGCCCAUAUGGGAUUAGCUAGUGGGUGGGGUAAAGGCUCACCACGGCGACGAUCGCUACCUGGUCUGAGAGGAUGACCAGCCACACUGGGACGGAGACACGGUCCAGACUCCUACGGGAGGCAGCAGUGGGGAAGAUUGCACAAUGGGCGCAAGCCUGAUGCAGCCAUGCCGAGUGUAUGAAGAAGGCCUUAGGGUUGUAAAGUACUUUCAGCGGGGAGGCGUUACCCGCAGAAGAAGCACCGGCUAACUCCGUGCCAGCAGCCGCGGUAAUUC
rnacentral:rRNA from 1 species